ACCCGCUGAACUUAAGCAUAUCAAUAAGCGGAGGAAAAGAAACCAACAGGGAUUGCCUCAGUAACGGCGAGUGAAGCGGCAAAAGCUCAAAUUUGAAAUCUGGCCGCAAGGUCCGAGUUGUAAUUUGUAGAGGAUAAUUCGGCAUUGACUUUGGUCCAAGUCUUCUGGAACGAAGCAUCUUGGAGGGUGAGAAUCCCGUACGACCAAUUGUUACUACCAUGUGAAUUUCCUUCGAAGAGUCGAGUUGUUUGGGAAUGCAGCUCAAAUUUGGUGGUAAAUUCCAUCUAAAGCUAAAUAUUGGCCAGAGACCGAUAGCGCACAAGUAGAGUGAUCGAAAGAUGAAAAGCACUUUGGAAAGAGAGUGAAACAGUACGUGAAAUUGUUGAAAGGGAAGCGCUUACAAUCAGACUUGUAUUCAGUUGUUCCACUAGUUUUUAACUGGUUUAUUCUUCUGUUUUCAGGCCAACAUCAGUUUCAGCGGUUGGAUAAAGGUUUUAGGAAUGUGAUUCUUCGGAAUGUUAUAGCCUAUUACAUAAUACAGCCCGUUGGGACUGAGGUCAGCGUUCGCUAGGAUGUUGGCGUAAUGGUUGUCAGCGGCCCGUCUUGAAACACGG
rnacentral:rRNA from 1 species